GUUGGUGUCGAUGACGCAGGGGGUCCACCCGUUCCCAUACCGAACACGGAAGUUAAGCCCUGUA
rnacentral:rRNA from 1 species